CCUGGCGGCCUUAGCGCGGUGGUCCCACCUGACCCCAUGCCGAACUCAGAAGUGAAACGCCGUAGCGCCGAUGGUAGUGUGGGGUCUCCCCAUGCGAGAGUAGGGAACUGCCAGGU
rnacentral:rRNA from 8 species